UACGUAGGGGGCAAGCGUUGCUCGGAUUGACUGGGCGUAAAGGGCGCGUAGGCGGUUCGUACAGUCAGACGUGAAAUUCCUGGGCUCAACCUGGGGGGCUGCGUUUGAUACGUGCGGACUUGAGUGCGGAAGAGGGUCGUGGAAUUCCCAGUGUAGAGGUGAAAUUCGUAGAUAUUGGGAAGAACACCGGUGGCGAAGGCGGCGACCUGGUCCGAUACUGACGCUGAGGCGCGAAAGCGUGGGGAGCAAACAGG
rnacentral:rRNA from 1 species